CCACCUCUUGAAGGCUUCUCCUUUCCCUGCUCUUCAAUGUCCUCACUAUAAGUGGGUGACGCACUCUGAGCAGCAGCAGGUGCUGUACCUAUCAACAACACGUGGUGGUGCUACUGCUGACUGGAAGCUGGGGUUUGGAUUAAAGAGCAGCGGAACUUGAGCCAGAUCAACAGGACCAGGCAGGCACCACGGCAGCUGCUGUGAUCGCCCAGGAGGAGAGGAAAGACAGCCGGAAUAGGAGCCAUGCUGGCCCAACUUGUACUUAAGGCUGCUCCUGGCGGACAGUGUUCCGAGCUGACAGAGCACAAGACUCUGGCGAGAUGAAAGGAGGAGGACUCUGUGUUUACAUCAAUGAUGCUUGGUGCUCAAGUGCAAGCAAAGUGGGUGGACACUGUUUCCAGAUGUCAGAUUUUUUUCCCCUUGUAACUGAGAGUCUCGUCAGAAACAGGUUUAAUUAUAAAGCCUUGUAGGCUACUGUGUGAUUAAUGCUGUUUAGGCAUGUGCACUUUAGGACUGUUUUCGUCCUUCAAGUUACAAAAGGGAAUUAAGACUAAGUCUAAAACAUUAUGACCAACAACAACAGCAGGAAUCUAACACUGUAACAUCAAACAACACGUAACAUCAAGCAACUUGUGUUUUCAUAUGCUUACAAGCUGAACUGAAGGAAGAUUCUUCGUGACAUCAUGCUAAAUUACCUUUUAGUAAUUUAUCUAGCCUCAACCCAAAUAUAACACAGGAAAAGUAAUGUUUUCACCUUGUGGUUCAGAUAGCCAGAGGACAAGUUGCACUGGAAGGGAAGUUGAUUUUUCUGUGUGGGCAGUUCGGAUGUUUGUAUGUGCUUGGUCCCAUGCACAGUUUGACCAGUGAAUCCUCUUGUGGAGCUUCUUCAGCCAUUGUCAGUCCCACAGUGCGACUCGGCUUGAGUCGUUUCUCUCAGCAGGCGGAUAACAUCACGCACACCGACUCUGCUGGGUGUGCUGUAGCGGCUUUCAGAGUUGGACAGUUAUGACUUUUCUAACUUUGUCAUGUGAAAAUGCUGGAUGUCAGCCUUUAACACGUUCUGUGCGGCUUGGGAUUCAGUUGAUUCUCUGAGAAUCAACUGUUGUCUGAAGAGAAGCUUGGACUGCAGAGCCAGAAGCGACACACGCAGGAAAGGACAGAGGACAAGACACUAGGUACCUGAACAAGAAGUUUCCUCUUGUUUUAAAGUCUUCUGUAAAGGGGGGGUGAUGUCAUCGGUGUGACCAAGAUCUAUUCUGUCUUUAUUACUUUCCUAAAGAAUUAUUAAAGUAUUUGUUACCAAUUGAA